AUUCGCGGGGCGAGGUGGGCUGUCAAUAACUUAGCUCAGGCUCAGCAACGUCAAACCGCAAGACCAUAACUAAUGCAAGUUAGAAUGUACCAAUCAAAUAAUGGGUUUAAGGAUGCAUUUCAGAACGCUACAUAGCAAAAAUGUCUAUUCCAAGUUGAGCAUAGAUCGGAGAGAAGAAACCAUCCACAAAGUGAAUAAACCACCAUGUGAUAUAGAAAGUGAUCGCUAUUGGAAAUAGGAUCACAUUGCAAAAGAGCAAAGAGUGAGCAGCUAAUAUGAUAUAUAUAUAUAUAUAUAUGAGCAAAAAGCAAUCUCAAAGAAGGAGAACGAAGCUUUGAUCUCAUUAGCUACUACAUAACGGAUAAAAAAAAAAAAGGUCGUACCCAGUGCAUAAGGCUCCCUCUUUACGCAGGGUCUGGGAGAGGUGAAUGUCGGCUAGCCUUACCCCCAUUUAUGGAGAGGCUGCUCCCAAGUCUCGAACCCGAGACCUACCGCUCAUGGGCGAAGGCACUUGCCAUCGCACCAAGUGCGACCUCUCUACUACAUAACGGAUGCAUCAAAAAAAAAAUCCACACAUACAUGACAUUAGCGUAAAAUUAUUUGAAAUGGGCUCAGUCUAAAACUUGUAAUAAGCUAAGUUGUACAUUUCUUGAAUUCAUCUGGCAAGGGGCAAGUUCUCUAUCUUAGCUAACUUGUAAUAUACUUCUACUUUCAGAAAGAGAGAAAAACAGAUUAUAAAUACAUGCCGACAAUCUAAGUUUAAAUUCCUAUCACUACUAAAGCACUCCAUCUUUCAACUUUAAAUCAUAAGAAAAAUCACAAAUCCACCAACUUUAAAGAUAUUUGACCCUCCUCACAACAUAGAAUUGAUGGUUUACACACAGUAUCAAACAGAAAAUAGUAUAGCUUAUGAACAUGAUUUGAACGAAAUAGAAGCCAGAAGAAAGAAAUGCCCACCAUCCUGUCAUGAACUUUUUUGAUGCCCAACUUCU
rnacentral:lncRNA from 1 species